GGCACAUGGGUAACGUUUGGCAGUCAGAUUACAGAUGAGGUGGCCGAGCAGCUGAUGACCAUAGCGUAUGAGAGUGGGGUCAAUCUGUUUGACACAGCGGAGGUGUACGCUGCUGGAAAAGCUGAAGCCAUAUUGGGUAAUAUCAUCAAAAGAAGUCCUGGAGG